rnacentral:tRNA from 1 species
GGAGAGGUGGCUGAGUGGUUGAAAGUACCGCACUCGAAAUGCGGCGUACUCGCAAGGGUACCGUGGGUUCGAAUCCCCCCCUCUCCGCCA